UCAUGGCUCAAGACGAACGCUGGCGGCGUGCUUAACACAUGCAAGUCGAACGAUGAAGCCUAGCUCGCUAGGCGGAUUAGUGGCGAACGGGUGAGUAAUACGUGAGUCGACCUACCUUUGACUCUGGGAUAAGCCUGGGAAACUGGGUCUAAUACCGGAUACGACCAAUCUCCGCAUGGGGUGUUUGGUGGAAAGCGUUAUGGAGUGGUUUUAGAUGGGCUCACGGCCUAUCAGCUUGUUGGUGAGGUAAUGGCUUACCAAGGCGACGACGGGUAGCCGGCCUGAGAGGGUGACCGGCCACACUGGGACUGAGACACGGCCCAGACUCCUACGGGAGGCAGCAGUGGGGAAUAUUGCACAAUGGGCGCAAGCCUGAUGCAGCGACGCCGCGUGAGGGAUGACGGCCUUCGGGUUGUAAACCUCUGUUAGCAUCGAAGAAGCGAAAGUGACGGUAGGUGCAGAGAAAGCGCCGGCUAACUACGUGCCAGCAGCCGCGGUAAUACGUAGGGCGCGAGCGUUGUCCGGAAUUAUUGGGCGUAAAGAGCUUGUAGGCGGUUGGUCGCGUCUGCUGUGAAAGGCUGGGGCUUAACCCUGGUUUUGCAGUGGGUACGGGCUAACUAGAGUGCAGUAGGGGAGACUGGAAUUCCUGGUGUAGCGGUGGAAUGCGCAGAUAUCAGGAGGAACACCGAUGGCGAAGGCAGGUCUCUGGGCUGUAACUGACGCUGAGAAGCGAAAGCAUGGGGAGCGAACAGGAUUAGAUACCCUGGUAGUCCAUGCCGUAAACGUUGGGCACUAGGUGUGGGGGACAUUCCACGUUUUCCGCGCCGUAGCUAACGCAUUAAGUGCCCCGCCUGGGGAGUACGGCCGCAAGGCUAAAACUCAAAGAAAUUGACGGGGGCCCGCACAAGCGGCGGAGCAUGCGGAUUAAUUCGAUGCAACGCGAAGAACCUUACCAAGGCUUGACAUAUACUGGACUGCGUCAGAGAUGGCGUUUCCCUUCGGGGCUGGUAUACAGGUGGUGCAUGGUUGUCGUCAGCUCGUGUCGUGAGAUGUUGGGUUAAGUCCCGCAACGAGCGCAACCCUCGUUCUAUGUUGCCAGCACGUGAUGGUGGGGACUCAUAGGAGACUGCCGGGGUCAACUCGGAGGAAGGUGGGGAUGGCGUCAAAUCAUCAUGCCCCUUAUGUCUUGGGCUUCACGCAUGCUACAAUGGCCGGUACAGAGGGUUGCGAUACUGUGAGGUGGAGCUAAUCCCUAAAAGCCGGUCUCAGUUCGGAUUGGGGUCUGCAACUCGACCCCAUGAAGUCGGAGUCGCUAGUAAUCGCAGAUCAGCAACGCUGCGGUGAAUACGUUCCCGGGCCUUGCACACACCGCCCGUCA
rnacentral:rRNA from 1 species